rnacentral:rRNA from 1 species
AGCGAACGCUGGCGGCAGGCCUAACACAUGCAAGUCGAACGAAGCCUUCGGGCUUAGUGGCGGACGGGUGAGUAACACGUGGGAACGUACCUUUUGGUUCGGAAUAACGCAGAGAAAUUUGCGCUAAUACCGGAUGAGCCCUUCGGGGGAAAGAUUUAUCGCCGAAAGAUCGGCCCGCGUUGGAUUAGGUAGUUGGUGAGGUAAAGGCUCACCAAGGCUACGAUCUAUAGCUGGUCUGAGAGGAUGAUCAGCCACACUGGGACUGAGACACGGCCCAGACUCCUACGGGAGGCAGCAGUGGGGAAUCUUGCGCAAUGGGCGAAAGCCUGACGCAGCCAUGCCGCGUGAAUGAUGAAGGUCUUAGGAUUGUAAAAUUCUUUUACCAGGGACGAUAAUGACGGUACCUGGAGAAAAAGCCCCGGCUAACUUCGUGCCAGCAGCCGCCGUAAGAC